GUCACUUUGAGUUGCGGGAACUUCAGCUGUUGUGUGAAAAUUCACCUUUUCCGAUUGUGCCGUUUUAUACUUCGCAUUGUAUAAUGUGAAAUGAGAAUUAAUCGUACCAGUGUAGGGUGUGUUUUGCAUCAUUCGAGACAUCUAAUGAUAGAUAAUCAAUCAACCAGGAAGAACCGUGAUGCCGUCGGCUAGUGUUUGAUAUGGGUUAAAUGUGCUAAACUGGACACCGGUCAUGGCUACCACGAUCUUGCUGCCUGCUACAUGCUACCUCAAUUUCCAAUGCAAAAUCAAAGACUACCAUGGUUUGUAGUAGGCCACAGUCGUGGAGUUUCUGCUCGUUACCUUUCCGCAAUUUGAUCUGCAGCUAGCAAAGGCAAUUGUAAUACCGGAAAGCUGCUAACUUGUUAUGUGUUAUCGAUACAUUAUUUUCAAAACAAUUGCAAAGAGUUGGAUGUAGCAUACCAGUACAAUAUGAACUCAUGAUUAACCGUUAAUGCAUGAAUAAAGCUUUUCAGAACGUCAUUUACUAGACGUGAUCAUAGUCAACACUGCUUAGAGAUGCUUACAAGCACAUCAUUCAAACGGUUCGAAAUGAAAAAAACCAUCACCGCCGACUCCAAAGCACAGUGCCUGAAUGCAAGGUAACAAAUCUCAACGCAAUGCAGGAAUCUGUCACAACCUGGCAUCAACAGCGGCAGACAUUAAAUUGAAAGAGGAACAGCAUGAAACCAAAGAGCUGACAAAGAAAAUAUAGGAAUUUGGAAGAUAAAAUCACCGUAUAAAAUGCUCGUUUAAGAGCAACCAGAAACAAAUGCGAAAUGGACGUUGGCUGAGAAAAAUAUGAAAAGAUUAAAGAUGAAUAACUGCCCGGUCCUUGAGGCAGUUACAGAUGCAGGGAAAAUUACAGAACUUGAACAACGAUUAGAUAUAGCAGAUGAAAUGCGCCAUAUCCACCAUUUACUCGCCGCUGUUCGUCGCACAGCACACCUCACCGCGGCGACGGCUUAGCUAGCGUAACAGAAGCAAAUAGUAUUAAUUACGUGACGCGUGGUAUCGCCACACAACCCUG